ACACACACACACACACACACACAUACCGUAUAUAUUUAUAAGUGUGUGUGUGUACGUCUCUCUCUCUCUCUCUCUCUGUAUAUAUAUAUGUGUGUGUGUGUGUGUGUGUGG
rnacentral:miRNA from 1 species